rnacentral:rRNA from 1 species
AUACGGAUGGUGCGAGCGUUAUUCGGAAUCACUGGGCAUAAAGAGCACGUAGGCGGCUGCAUAAGUAAGUGGUGAAAUCCCUCAGCUCAACUGGGGGACUGCCAUUUAUACUGUGCAGCUAGAAUGCGGGAGGGGCAGACGGAAUUCCAGGUGGAGCGGUGAAAUGCGUAGAUAUCUGGAGGAACGCCAGAGGCGAAAGCGGUCUGCUGGCCCGAAAUUGACGCUGAGGUGCGAAAGCUAGGGGAGCAAACGGGAUUAGAAACCCCUGUAGUCC